GCCUACGGGAGGCAGCAGUGGGGAAUAUUGCACAAUGGGGGAAACCCUGAUGCAGCGACGCCGCGUGAGUGAAGAAGUAUCUCGGUACGUAAAGCUCUAUCAGCAGGGAAGAAAAAAAGUCUUUGGCUUUGGACGGUACCUGACUAAGAAGCCCCGGCUAACUACGUGCCAGCAGCCGCGGUAAUACGUAGGGGGCAAGCGUUAUCCGGAUUUACUGGGUGUAAAGGGAGCGUAGACGGUGAUGUAAGUCUGGAGUGAAAGGCGGGGGCCCAACCCCCGGACUGCUCUGGAAACUAUGUGACUGG
rnacentral:rRNA from 1 species